AGGCGUGAUGACGCCGAGGACACCUGAGCGGUGAUGACUCUUCGCUUCGCUGACC
rnacentral:snoRNA from 1 species